GGUGAACGCUAGCGGGAGGCCUAACACAUGCAAGCCGAGCGGUAGAGUUCCUUCGGGAACUUGAGAGCGGCGUACGGGUGCGUAACACGUGUGCAACCUACCUUUAUCUGGGGGGAUAGCCUUUCGAAAGGAAGAUUAAUACCCCAUAAUAUAAAUGAUUGGCAUCAAUUAUUAUUGAAAACUCCGGUGGAUAGAGAUGGGCACGCGCAAGAUUAGAUAGUUGGUGAGGUAACGGCUCACCAAGUCAAAUGAUCUUUAGGGGUCCUGAGAGGGAGAUCCCCCACACUGGUACUGAGACACGGACCAG
rnacentral:rRNA from 1 species